rnacentral:lncRNA from 1 species
CAGAAAAACUGCUGGUUUUCUGUACACAGGGAAUACCCACACCAAAUAAAUCACGUCACGCAUGCGCCUAGGGGCUGAUCUCCCACUCCUGACUUCCUGUUGCUUGUUGCUUAGCAACACCAAUGUCCGCCUGUGAGAGCGUGGGUUAGUGUUCGCCGCCGGCGGCAGGUACGGUUGACAGCCCGGUUUAAAGGCUGUCAAUGUAAAAAGAUAAAUAAAUAUAGCCACCGCCGGUGGAAACACGCCGGUACGUCUGCCAACGAGAACAUUUAACGCGCAACAGAUGAUGAGCUGUAGUGGUGCAUCGAGAAACGGACGGCCGGAGUUAUGAAGGAUAAGCGUGGGGCAUGAAACCCGCCUCUUGCACGGGCGUGUCGGCUCCUGUGCGCGGUGGCGAUGCCGAAGCUGGUGACGACAGCCGCGGCCAGCGACCUGCGGGACCGCGGCCCGUCCAGCCUGCAGCUGCUGGAGGGGCUGGGGGCGCUCGGCCAGCACAUUCAGCAGGCUAACCUGAGGCUGGCCGCGGGGAAGCCCAGCGCCCAUCCGCCGCGGAGGAAACACGGCGGGGCGCCGUCUCCGCACCUGCAGGGCAGAUUAAAGGACAUAAAGGACCCAGAGGCCAAAUGCAUCAUAGAAGGGUCCAAGUUUUCUUCAUUGGUACUGAGAGAUUACCAGAGAGUGACAACAAGUGGCUUCGAAUCCAGAUGCUCUGACAUGGAAUUAUCUGAAAGACCUUCUCUGUUUCACAAGAAGUGGAGGAAUGACAUGAUGGAAUUCAAGUAUGAUGUCCAAGAAAAGAGAUUACCCAAAGCAAACUCUUCUGCGCCUUCACUCCCUCGUGACUUCCUGAUUCAGAAGUCCAGCCCUGUCCACAGGCUCUCCCUGCACAAAGAGCUCUCCCAGGGUCCCUCAAAGCCAUUCGCCUCUAGUUCCUAUGCAGGAUGUGAUCUUCCUUCUGUACCAGAAGUUUUCUUGCCAGCUACUACCUCUCCAGCUGUCAAACAGCAAAACGUGUCUGUAGAAACCUGCAUGAACAGGCCAAGAAUAAGUAAUAGAUCCUGCAGUUUAUUCACAAUUGGUGCUCUCCAGAAAUCUCAUGUCUAUGCUGAUCCUGUCCCUGGAGCCCCGACUUCUUUCAUUCAGAGGCUAUCAGAAAUCUCCUAUCUGGAAUGUGAGACUGUGCGACAGGAGAAAAUUAAAAAGCUGAAGAAGGGCAAGAAACAGGAAUCCUAAGGAAAGCAUAACAGAACAGGAAUAUAACCAGCAAGAGGCAAGAAAGCAGCUUGACUUAUGUCGUGCCAAAACUGAACCUUUCACUUUUUUCUUCUUCUGCAAAAUAAACUGGUGCCUUGUAGAAAUAUAGUUUUAUUUUUUUACAAGCACCUUUGACACGUGUUUUCUUCGAAUAAUGGCUCUGAACUAUGGCUGAAGCAUUACCUAAUUAUUAUAUGCAUUUUUUAUUUUCAAUUUAUAAUUGUACAGUAAAAUGAAAAAGGUGGUUUUAGCUAGGGAACAUGAAAUACAACUUGAAACAGUGGAGGUCAGGCAAACAUUUUCAUCUAUGCACUCAUUCUGUAAGAAACCUUUUUUACUGUGGUUCCAUGUUCUGCCCUGACUUGACAGACAGACACGGCUCACUUCAGUUACUUGUUAAAAUCUAAACAGAAAAACAAUAAAGGAUUAUUACAAACCAAUUACAUAUCACUGAAAUGAGCAGUGAUUGCUUUAAUUUUUGCUUCUAAGACAUUCAGUGACCUUAUCUUCUUUGGAAGCAAAAAUACCUACAGGAAAAUAAACAAAGAUCCAGAUUAUUUUAAAGAUGAUAUCACCGUGUUUUAUUCUGAGGCCACGUCUGCACACGUUAUACGAUUUACCUGUCUGAAACUGAAUAAGACAGUAGCCCAUGUUAAAAAAACCUUUCCCUUAAUAAUGUCACUUUUUUCUAAGUGUUCUCCUUUGCAUUACAAGACAUAUGGGCUAUCAAGUUAUGACACAAAUAGGAAAUAUAACACAACUCAAAACUGAGAAUAGGAGACACUUUUUUAAGCAAAGGUUUGUUGGAGUCUGGAACUAAUUACCCAGCCAUGUUGUUGAUGAGAUUCCUUGAAACAAUUAGCUAUUAGCAACCAAAUGACUUAGAUUGGCCAAAUGGGCCUGCUCUCAUUUCUAACUUUUCGUUUAUACUGUAUUUUGUUUUAGCUAAUCACUUCUAAAAUCACAUUAAAUCCAACAAAUAAAAUGAUAGGUUUAGCAGUAAACUAUAAGUUAUAGAGUGGUUGUACCACUCAAAUAAGACCUGAUAAGACAGAACAGAUGUUCCUCUCAAAGUCAUACUGUAUAUUGCUUUCAACUUUCUUCCACCUAGCUAGAGAGAUAGCAUUUGCACAGUUCUUUGAAAACAAUCAAAGACCGGACCUGCUCAUGUAUUGAAAUGACUUUGACCAAUUACAUUGGUAAUCACUGCAGAAGACACGGCUACUACUACUAUUAGUUCAUUGUGUUAUCUGAUUUCAACAUAUCUAACAUUCUAAAAUCCAGAGCAAUAUCAUUGACUUCACAGCCUUUUCGGAGUUUUCGGUGUUAAGCACACCUACAUAGUUGGAAACGGUGGACAACAGUUUUAAUAUUAAAUGUUACAUUUUUAGGUAAUCAAAAUAAUUCUAAUUGUUAUGUGACAUUGUUAUUUCAUUUUUAUGUAUUUUUUACAUAUUUAUGUAAUAUUGUCAUCUUUUUCUUUUCAUCAUGAAAUUAUGCCCGAGUUGUUCCUUUGUAGCUUGCCUAAUGAUGCAGUUCCUCUUUCUAAUCCAUAGAUAUUGAAAAAUAAUGAAGUCUGUAAAAGAACAGGUUGAUUUAUAAAUGUAGCAGAUCAUCUGCCAAUUUUUUUAAUAAACUGCCAGAUUUAUAAAAAUAAAAAAAGAUAAACUAUUACAAAUCUAAAAUGGCCAGCUGGUUAGCAUUGAGGCUCAGCUCUUCUGUUCUUCAGACUCAUAUAUUCUUUGCUAAGUCCUAACCUUUCAUGCUUAAUAAUAAUCACAACGUACUGUAGAUAAGAAACUGCAAGAAAUCCUUAAAAGUAUUAUCCUUCUUACACAUUCAUAAGAUAUCUUCUAAGUUCUAUUAACCUAUCAUCCAGAACAGCAGCAUUAUGUAUAAAAACUCUUAAAUUAGAUAAUGCUGAACUGAGCACUGAAAAGGAAACAUUUUCUCCAAUAGAACAUGGCUUUGUUCUAGUUUUACAUGGUAGUUAUAUAAACACAUUGUGGGUGGUAAAAAACAGAAAGGAAUUCAUAAUGAAACAUCAUAGAUACUGGGAAAAAAGGCAAACAGGCUUGAAGUGCCUUUCCAUGUCUAAAGAACUUUUAAGUUACCUCUCAGCAUAAAAAUGCUGAUGUGAGAAUGUGAUGUGAAUCCUGUUUUUUCAUCCAAGUGCCCAUGAGCUGGCUGAAUAUCUCAAUUUUGUCCUAGAGUCUUUGUGUUGCAGCAUAAUGUAAAUCGUAAUUAAAUCAGGGCAAAUUCUUCUGUACAUCCAUGUUUCUCAAACUCAGUCUGCAGAUUAGGAACAAUCUCUGGAGCGAUGAUGACUGCCUGGUCCCACCUGUAACCCAUUCACAUUACCAAUUAAAAUGGAUUCUUGAUAGCAACUGUUUCUCUUUAGCCCAAGUGGUCAUCAAAAGAGGAGCACCUAAGGGAGCUGGCUCCUAGUACCUAGCUCCUAGCUCCAGAAGCCAAAUAAGUAAGAAACAGGGUUCAAAAUGAGGUCACACCUGGGUCUUAUUGCAGUUUGACCUUCUUUCUGUUGUGACAGUUUGGAGUUUGGAGUCCUCACUGGUCAUCCUCUAGUAGUAGGUGGGAAACCAGCCUCUGGAACAGGUUGAUCCUAAUAAUAUGAUGCUUUACUCCUAUACAAUUCCAGCAUGUGUGAGGUUUCAGGCUUUGGAGCCUUAGCUUCCAAUGCAAAUUCUCAAUUAUCCCACAGGUUGGCUGGCUGAACUUUUGUUGUAACAACCUGUGGCCAAAGGAAGCUACAGUUUAACCCCCAGUCAGUCUCUCAGUCUCUCAGUAUACCAAUCAACCAAUCGAGAAAAUACUGAAAGCAGGUCCUUCAACAACAGACCAAGAGCUGUGCUUGCCAUGAUCUUUUAUAUUAUGAGAGACAGCCAAAUCACUAGCAGCUGGGCUUCAUCACGUAAGAAACAAACACAUCAUCUAGCAUUUAAAUGUAGCUUCCUCCUGGAAGCAGGGUAGAGGAGGGUAGAGGAGCUCCAAACUUUAGCAGACAGGAUUAUAGUUGGUAGACACUUCUUGUAAUUCUUAUUCUUAUUCCAUAAUAUACUCUUUCUAUAACCCUGGAAUUAAACACUUUUCUUUCAGAUCUGUUAGUUUUUAACUGCUUUACCAUGUAGACUGGUUGAAGACGUUAAUAUGUGACUAUAAAAGCCUUCUCUGUCUUUUCUGAGGCAUCCUAAACCUUUUUAUACCUACAGUAUAAUUCAUAUUAUUGUCUGCAUUAAAUCCUUGACAUUGUGAAUAUUAAUGGUCAUGUUUCUGUUUGUUUUUGGUUCUGUUCCAAACCCUUUUGAAUUUCCUUCACUACCGACAAACUGCCCUCUACACCAUUAAUUUAUUUCCAUGUAUAAUACUGAACAGAUUGUUUAGUGUACUAGUGUCCAUAAAUCAGAAAGAACAGUAGUCUUGAUAGUGCUCCCUGAAUUACGCAAUUGAGUGACGUCAACAAAUAUUGAUUUCUGCUUGGUAAAAUGUUUAUUGAUAUGAAUUAUU